rnacentral:rRNA from 1 species
GAAACCGGGGGUAAUACCGCAUGAGUCGCAGGAGACAUAAGUCUCUUGCGGGAAAGGCGGGGACCCUUCGGGACCUGUCGCCUCUGGAUGGGCCCGCGUCCGAUUAGCUUGUUGGUGAGGUAACGGCUCACCAAGGCUGCGAUCGGUAGCCGGCCUGAGAGGGUGAACGGCCACAUUGGGACUGAGACACGGCCCAGACUCCUACGGGAGGCAGCAGUGGGGAAUUUUGGGCAAUGGGGGAAACCCUGACCCAGCGACGCCGCGUGGAGGAUGACGGCCUUCGGGUUGUAAACUCCUGUCAGGUGGGAAGAAGAACCUGUCGGUUAAUACCCGACAGGGUUUGACGGUACCACCAAAGGAAGCCCCGGCUAACUCCGUGCCAGCAGCCGCGGUAAUACGGAGGGGGCAAGCGUUAUUCGGAUUUACUGGGCGUAAAGCGCACGUAGGCGGCAUGGCAAGUCGCAGGUGAAAGCCCUCGGCUCAACCGAGGAACUGCCUGCGAAACUACUUUGCUUGAGUCCGGGAGGGGGGAGCGGAAUUCCCAGUGUAGCGGUGAAAUGCGUA